AAAAGUAGAGGCAUUAACAUUUGUCAUCUCUCCUGAAAAAUUAUUUCCAUCCAAAUAUAAAUUCUCCACCCCAUUCGCGCUGAGAAUCACAGGAACUACAUUUCCACUGAAGUUGUUAUUUGAUAGUUUCAAAAUGAUCAGUGAGCCUUUCGUGAUCAACUCUUCUGGUACUUUUCCAUACAAUUGAUUGUUUGAUAGAUCUAAAAAUGAUAAGUACUUCAUGCCACUUAAACAAAGUGGGAUAUUACCUUCAAAAGCAUUCUUGGAUAAGAGUAACCGCCUCAAAUGUGGAAAAGUUGAACAUAUACCAGUCGGAAUUUGACCUUGUAAUUUGUUUUCAGAUAUGUCAAUUGAAGAUACAUUAGAAAUAAGAGCUGACGAACGUGAGAGAGGACCUGUAAAUGAAUUACCCUUCAAGAUGAGUUCUUCUAACUUUGUGUUGUUUUCUAGCAACCAAGUUGGUAAAGUUCCACUGAGAUUGUUAUGAGAAAGAUCCACAUAUCUCAAGUCAUAUUGGUAGUAAAGGAAGGUAGGAACUUUUCGACUGAGUUGUUGAGAUGUUAUGCACUUUGACAAACUGAUGACUUCCAAUUGGAACUUUGGGAUUGAGGUAUAAAAGGAAGGUUCCAAUACCAUUUUGUUUUCAUUACUGGAGAGGGCUUUGAGGUUUGAAAGGUUUGCAAAUGGUGCAAAUGACAGUGGAAUUUGAAAAUGGUUUCUUGAAAUAUCUAACACACGAAGAGAUGUCAAGUUACUAAAACAAUGAGGAAGCAUCCCCUCAAGUGCAUUCUCACUCACUUCCAACACUUCAAGGUUCCUUAGAUCACACCAUCCUGAAAAUUUUAUAAAUUCAUGGAAGAAGUUUCAAUUAAAUCUUGUUUUAUAAAACAGAAUAGGAUAUAAUAUAUUACAGAAAGCACAUACAGCAAUCAAUUUGAGCCAUAAAAUUAUUUACCUUGAUUAGGUAAGGGACCAAUAAGUCCACAAUCAGAUAAAGACAAUGUUUUAAGAGAAGCAAAUACUCCAAUGCUUUGCAAAAUGUUGGUGUUGAGAGUAGAAUUGUCAAGAUAUAUUUCCUCCAAAUUGCUCAACACAUUUGAAUCUAAGCAAUGUCAAGAGGUAUUAGAUAACGGUAUUAUAGAAAGCCUCUACUAAGUGAAAUGCUUUAUUUUCUGUGAAUGAAAUGAAAUAUAUAAAUUUUUUUUAUGAGUGUUAGACUAUUCAUGAUUAUCUGAGAUAAAUUUUGAUGGAGAGAAGAUGUUGAAACUUUAAUAUAACUCUUCAUCCAUUUUAUUAAUUAUACUAUUUUUUUUCUUUUUAGUAUUUUCUUAUAUUAUUUUUUAAUAUAAGUAAUUAACUGAUAUGGCUAAUUUGUAUAAUUUUCAAACUCCAAUCAACAACACUAUAAAUAAUAUUUAUAAAAUAAAACAUUUCUACACUAAAAUUAUUAUAUUACCUUUAAAGUUACCAAUACUUUAAAAAAAAAUAAAAAUAGGUAUUUUACUCACCAAUAAAUAAAAUUCAAAAAUAUAUUUAUAUAUGAAAUUAAAAAAUUUAUAUGUAUUUUUACUUUAAAAAAAUAAAAACAGGUAUUUUACCAAUACUCUAAUAUGUAUUUUUAUGUUUUAUACUAUUAAAAAUAUAUGAAAUUAAAAUAUAGUUAUAUUACAUAUUUUCUCAUAAAUAUAUGUUUUUAUUUAUUUAUAAUAUCAUUUUUUUAUUGUUAUAAUCAUUUUUUAUCUCAUAAAAAUUCAAUAAAUUAUUUUAAAAAAUAUAUUUAUACAAACAAAAUAAUUAUAAACAUUAAUAUUUAAAAAUUAUGAAAAAUUUAAAGAAUUUUAGUUUCAAACCAAAGUCGAAACACAUUAUAAUGGAGGGUUUAGAAAAUGUUUCACCAAACCCAUAUUUUACUUUCAAGUAUGAUAUGAUAUAACUUUAUUAAUAUUUAUGACAAUAACUGUUAUUAUAAUAUCUGAGAUCAAAACUAAAUUUCUAAAUUAAAAAAGAAAAGGAAAUUUAAUUAAAUGAUACCUUGGUGGAUCACAAAAUCUCUCAAUUCAUUAUAGCUCAUAUCUAGUUCCCUUAAUUUGAUAAAUGCUUCCAAAUCUAGGAAAACAAAAACAACAAAUUAAUCAACUCCAUUAUAUUCUCUUAAAACAUUAUUAUAUUCUUGUUAAAAAACUAAUAUUUUUACCUUUCAUAUCUAUUGAUCCUUUCAAUUGAUUGACCCUUAUGCUCAACGAUUUCAAAUUUGAAAGCUUGUUAAGGGAUGCAAAUGCACUAGUAUUGAAGAGAUUUCCAUCUAAAUUAAGCUCUUCCAAGUGGGUCAACUCCAAUUUUCUACCACCAUCUACAAAAGAUUUAUAUAAUUUCAUCACUGAAAUGAAUUGGCAUAAAAUUUAAUUAUAUGUAAGAAUUUAGGUAAUUGGUUAAAUAUAAAUGCAUACCUUUAAAGGAUUGAAAGCUUUCAAUUUGAUUCCCACUUAAAUCGAGUUUCUUCAAAUUUGUUAAAUUGCUCAAUCCUAUACAUAUCCACGUCCAAUUUAAAAAAUCAUUAUGUUAAUAAUUUUAAUUUCUACUUAAUAUUUUAAUGAAAUAAAAAUGAAAAAGAAAGUAAAUCUAAAACUUGAAGUGAAGAUGAAAAUCCUCAAACGUGAAAUGUGAAUGUUCAAAAUUAAAACAAUUGAUUUUAAAAGGUUCUAGAAAGAAUUAUCAAGAAAAACAAAGUUAUAGCUUUAGUACCUUUAGUAUCUAAUGAGCCUUGCAAACUGUUCGACCUCAUAUUCAAGGACUUUAGGCUUGAAAGCCCUUGAAGAAAGGAAAUUGUGUUGUUCCGAAAGAGAUUACCACUCAAAUCAAGUUCCUCUAAGUUUGUUAGCCUCAAUUGUGUUCCAUCUAUCAUUGGAAGAAAAUAAUAUCAUUCAAGAUAAAAAUAGUUAGGAAAAAUGAUUGUUUGAGAAGGAAGAGGCAAUUUACAAGCUUUCCCAUGAAUUGAUAACUACAUUUUACAAGUAAAACUUAAUUGAUUCAAUAUAUAAAUACUUUGUUUGAGAUACCUUCCUAUUUUGAAAUACUGCAACAUUAACUGUCCCUUAAACAAAAAUUGGUUUUAAAGUGAAAAAGAAACAUAUAAAAGCAGUCCACCUUUAAUAUGAAUUGACAUAUAAAUACUGUACUUAUACCUUGGUUUGAGAUGCUUUCAAAUUUCAAUUCUGUUCCAACUUAAAUCCAAGUAUUUCAAGUUUGUCAAAUUAUUCAAUCAUAAAAUUCAAUCCCAAAUAUUGAUUAGUUAUAUAUUCAUCGUAUGAUGAAAUCAAACUUGAAUAUACAUUGAUUUUUAAAGUUGAAAAGAAACAGGUAAAAUCAGUCUACCUUGAAUAUGAUCCAUCCUUCCUUUCAACUCAUUACCACUCAAUCUUAAAGUCUUCAAGGAUGAAAGAUUUCUCAUAUGGAACAAAAUGCUAUUCUUCAAAGAAUUCCAACUUAAAUCAAGAGUUUCCAAGUUAUUGAGUCUUGAAAGCAAUUGAAAACCUGAUAUAUAUACAUAAUUACUUGUUAAUUGUUUUUUUCUUUCUUUGCUAUAUGAAAAUUUUACUAAAGCAAUAGUGGAAUUACAACGGAUAAAAAGAAUGGAAAACUAGGUACCAAACCCAGAAGACCAUCCUCAAACUCCACUAUACAAAUAAAAACUAACACCAGACCAAACUUAAUUUACCUCUUAGAUGACUUGAUCCUUCUAAUUUGUUGUGUGAUAGAUCUAAAUACCGGAGAGAUGAAAGCUCACUCAAAGAUAACAAAAUGCUGUCAUUCAAGUAGUUUUCACUUAAGUCAAGGAUCUCCAAAUUACUCAACGUGGAUGAUAGUUUUCCAAAGCCUAUAGAAAUAUUCUUUUAAAUAUAUACAAGUUAGUGACUUUUCUUCCAUAAAAUAAAAUAAAAUAUAAGUAAUUGCAAAUUAACGAUGGUGAGAGUAGUGGAAUAAUAAAAGAUGUAAUUAAGGAAAAACUAGAGGCACGACCUUCAUUUUCAAGAUUACCACUUAUGGCAUUCCCCGACAAAUAAAGACUCUUCAAUUCCUCAAAGGGAAGAAACAUAGAGGCAUUGAGAUACCAGGCAUUGAGAUUCCUAUUAUCCAUGUCGUAUUCCCAUUUUGUAGAAUUAAGGGAGAGUUGUAUGAGUCUCCUAGUGGUGGUGUUACACUCAACUCUUUCCCAUUUACAACAAUCUGAACCCUUCACCUCAACCCAACUAUUCAAUUGAUUACCAUCAUUGAAGAAAGGUUUGAGAUGCAAGAGAGCGAUUCUCUCAUGCUCCAAACAAGCAUCAGUAGUACACCAUCUGCAUCCUUCUAACACCAACAACAUUACUGCCAUCCUAAUAAACCUUAACCAUUUCCACUUCAUCAUCAUCAUCAUCUCUCUGUUUUCACUUCUCUCUCAGCUAUAUGUUACUUUUUUUUAACUUCUAUAUGUAUAUAAUCUAAAGAAGCCUAAGCUUCUUAUUUAUAUACAAGCAGAUGCAUCCCACUAACUCACUAUAAUGUAAAAAUAAUAUAUAAUUAAUUAAUUCCUCAAAAAUUGGAUCAAAAUCUAGGCUUCUUAUUUACGUAAAUUAUUUAUUGCAAAAACUCUUAGUGGAAAUUCGUUAGGAAGGGAUGAAGGGGCCACAAGAAUAUUGAUGUUAAUCUUGAAAAACGAAUGGCCAAAAAAAUAUGAAAAGUGAGAGGUGGACAUAAAAUCGUAUAGUUGGGAUUGCAAAAGUCUUCAUGUGGCUUUCUUGUGAGUUUCAUUUAUACCCUUCUUACACUUAUACAAACUUAGUCUUGACUUGGCUUUAUUAAUGGAAAAUUUAGGUCUUCAUUUUUGGUUUUAUUCAUAGAAAUUUUACUUCUUUGAUUUUGGUUUUAUUAAUGGAAAUUUUAAGUCUUCAGUUUGCUUUUAUUCUUGCACAUUUUAGGUUUUGAUUUUGAAAAUUUAGUUUUUUCAUCUCUAUUAUUAUAAAAUUUCUUAAUUUAAUUAAUAUCAUGAGUUAAUUUAAUACUUUAAAAAAUAAAAUAUUACAUUCACUAUUUUUUAAAAAAUAAAAGUAACUAUAAAAUUUUAUUAUUUAUAUAAUAUUUAAAAAAAAACUAUUUAUUUCUACUAGACCACUACUUUAAAACUAUCCAUUAUCAUAUUGUAAUAGGCCCAAUUUGCCCGGGCCCGGUAAAUAAAUAAAACCAAUAAAAUCAAAUAAAAAAUAGUCCCAAAACAGUCCAUUUACAAUGACCCAAUACCAACCCAAUGGCCUAAAUCUCUACCCAAGCCCGAAUCUAAACCUAAACAGGCCCAAAACCCACUAAACCUAAUGGCCCAAUACCCAGCUUGGCUGAGACAAACCCUAGCCUUCAGCAGCUUUCUGCUCUUGCGCUGCAGCCAAGCCGCUCCUCACGUACGAGCCUCAUUCAUGCGCCGCACCGAGCAACGCCAUCGCCAGGGACCACGCCUGUACUGUGCCACGCGAGCCUCCGUACAUGCGCGCCCGUUCACCUCUGUACCAGUACCUGCAAAUACACACAAGAAGCAGCGAAGCAACAAAAAAAAAGAGAAAAUAGCAGUAGAAAAAUAGGGGAUUUUCAGUUUUUAUUUGAUUUUUCUGGCUAUAAAAGCCAAACACGCAGAUUGUAUCAUAGGGGGAACUCACGCAUAUUGCAAAAAAACAAGGGGCAGAAAAUCAAUACAAAAAAAAAAAGAAAAGGUUUUCUCUUCCUUCAGGUCUCUUUUCUUCUCCAAUUGUUUCUUUUCUUUUUCGAUUGUUAUUAGCCUCAUAUAAGUAUAGAUAUAUAUAGAGUAAAUAAUAACAAAAAGGGGGGGUUAAAACGUACCUGGUGAUGCCUUUGAAUCCACGCGAAGAAGCCAAAAAGCCUUGAAUGGUGAGGCUCCGACCACCAUUCGCAGUGGAAUCAAGGCGGAGGGGCGGACUGACGGCACUGAAGACUAGGGUGAAACCCUAGCAGAGGAAACAAUAAGCAAUUUUUUUUAAAAACGAGUCUGCUAAUGUUUUUUUUAGGGUAAAUUUUGUUUAAAUAAUGAUACAAUACGGAGCCGUUUUGGGCUAGGGUUCCUAGCGUCCAAACGACGUCGUUUAGAGGCCUUACCCAAUGACCCGAUCCAGAUGGCGGCUAGAUCCGCGUGUUUGGUAGGGGGAGGGGAAAUUUCGCGAAGAGUCCCUCUUGUUUUGUGCCGUUUCGGUUUGAUUUUCUUCAUUGUUUUUAAUUUGAAUCGCGUAUUUUAUUUUGUUUUCAAUUUGAUCCACAGUUAAACGGCGCCGUUUUCACUAAUCGGAUUUGAGCAUCCGAACAUUUGUGUUUAUUUUCUGUUUUAGUCCUCUCUGUUAUUUUUUAUUAUGAUUUUUACCCUCCUAUUUUAUUUUCACCCUAAUUUAGUCCCGAAACUGUUAGAUUUCACUUUAUUUAUGCAAUGUAUAUAUUUAUUUAUUUUAAACUUUAUAUUAUUUAUUUUAAAUCGUUCUAUUACUAUUUAUUUUAAGCCUUUUUUACAUAUUAUAUGUUUUAAAUUAUGUUAAUCAAUUAUUCAUUUUAAAUAUAUAUUAUUUAUGUUAAACUACAAAUGUAUAUUAUUUAUUUGGAAUUGUUCUUAUGCACAUCAUGCAUUAUCAUUUUUAAAAAAAUAAUAAUAAUAGAAUUUGUUUGCAUAUUGUUCAUUUAGGAUUCCUUCUCACACAUUACUUAUUUUAAACGUUUUACAUAUUAUUUUAAAUUGUUUUAUAUGUUUUUUUUUAAAUGCUUUGAAGAUUAUUCAUUUUAACUUGUUUUACACAUUAUUUUAAUAUGUAUGGAAUUGCUUUAAUAUAUAUAUACGUGAAUAAAACGUAUUGUAACUGGUAAUUUCUAAAAUUUUAUUCUACGUUUUAAAAUUUUUAUCAUUUCGAUUAUGUUGAUUGGUUUACUUGGGAUUAAAUUAUUAUUGCAUUGAUUAUUCUUUUUUUUGAUUUUUUUGUUAGAUUGAUUAUUAGUUUAUUUGAUUAUCAAUGUUGAUGUAUUAUAUGUUUGGUUGCUCCAAAUUGUAAAUUUAGCUUGCUAUUCACCAUUUGAUUAGUAUAUUGAUAUUUUAUUAUAUUGUUUGUAAAAAUUGCAUUUCAUUAAAGCAUUACAAUUGUUUUAUUUCAAAAUUCUCAAAAAGCUUGGUAUUUAAAAAUUCUCGAGAGGAUUGUGCCCUAACUUACUGGGCUUACCUUUUUUAAUUUGAACAUAGAAGUUUCAAAAUAAAAGCUCAUUCUCGGGAAUUUGACACGUUGUGUCCUAACGCAUUGAAUAUGACUAUUAUUUUCUCGAGAUGAGGAUUUUAAGGCAAUGUUCGAUAUUUAGGAAUUUUGUGAAAUCGAACCCUAACUUACUGGGUUUUGAUUUUCUCAUUUGACCCAGAUAAUCGGACAUCCUCCUCAAAAUGCAUAGGUUUUAAAAGACGAGAGAUAAACUUAACUUGGAGGACUUAAAAUGUUGCACUCUAACUUACUAAGGGUGACGAUUUAUUUCUUUGAAAUAAGUGAGUCUCGUCGUCCAAUUCAUUUUAUUCAAAAUAAAAGGAUCAAAUUUUAAAAUCUUUUCAAAAUUUUGACAUUAAGACAUUAAACAUUCCAAUCGGUACCAAUUUUGGGCGUCACGAGGGUGCUAACCCUUCCUCGUGCGUAACCAACUCCCGAACCCGUUUUCUCAAAAAUUCGCAGACCUAAAAUUAUUUUCAAGGUGAUCCGCACACCACAAUAAAAGAUCGGUGGCGACUCCAUUUCCAUUUUCAAAAUUGAUCCCCAUUUUUCAAAUUACAAAAAAAUGGCUUCGACACAUAUAACUUCUCUUUAAUAAUUCACUAUUCUUUGAACAUUCAUUAGUUUUUGAAACAUAAAAUUUAUAAAUAAUUAUUUUUAGAGUAAACUACACCCAUGGUCACUUUUGUUUACCUUAGGUUACAUUUCAGUCACUUAUGUUUGAAAUGUUACGUUUUAGUCACUUAAGUUAUUGUGUUGUAACAUUUUAGUCACUGAGCCGUUAGUUGUCGUUAAUGGCUGACGUGGCACGUUAAAUUAUCAUUUCAAACAAAAACUUUAGGUUAAAUUAUACAAUUGGUUUCCAUAAUUUUUCGUUUUGAGCAAUUUAAUUCUUUUAUGCUCUUUAACUUUCUUUCUUUUUUUUCUUUAUUUUCCAUUCUCUUCUGCUUCUCCCUGUUUUCCUACAUUCUUUAUUUCUUUUAACAUAUCAGGAAGUCGAAUUGGUAGUGAAGAAAGAAGCAUGGUAUGGGUUUAUGGGCUUUGGUUAUGGGCAAAUGAUGACAGUCGACUUCCUACUUCUUUUUUCACUGUCAAUUCGACUUCCUAAUAUGUUAAAAGAAAUGGGAAAAGUAUGAAAACAGAGAGAGAAACAAAAAAGAAUGGAAAAAAAGAGGAAAGUUUAAAGAACAUAAAAGAAAAAAAAUUAAAUUACUUAAAACGAAAAAAAUAUGGGGAUCAAUUGUAUAAUUUAACCUAAAAUUUUGUUUGAAAUGAUGAUUUAACGUGCCACGUCAGCUUACCGUUACACCAUUAACGACGAUUAAUCGCUCAGUGACUAAAAUUUUACAACAUGAUAACAUAAAUGACUAAAACGUAACAUUUUAAACAUAAGUGACUAAAACGUAACCUAAGGUAAAUAAAAGUGACCAUGGGUGUAGUUUACCCUUAUUUUUAAUAUGACUUGAUUUUUACUUGAAUCAUUUUUGUAAUUAGUUAAUUAAAUUGGGUUAUUUUAAAAAAAUCCUCUUAACUAAUAGCCAAAAAAAAAAAAGCCAUCAUGUAGAAAAUUCUGGUUUGUUGGAAAAAUAAAGACUUGACCUAUUACUUUAGAUUUUGAAAUGUUCAACUUGAUAUUGACAUAUGAUAAUAUGUACAAAUUUCUCAUUCUUUUAAAUUUCAGUGAUAUUACAUGUAUGAUAAUAUGUUUGCCACACCAAAUUUGAAAAUAGUAGAACUUAAUGAAUUUAACAGAUAUCUAAAAUAUCAAAUUAAAGUCUAGGAAUUAAAGCUACAACAUCAGUAAAGUACAAGAACUAUGGUAGAAUUAAACCUUUAUAUAAUAAUUUCCUUCUAUGAACCACAAUUCAAGUGCACCCGACAAGCUAAUUAAUAAAAAUUUAGUGGUAGAAUAUGUAUAUUCUUGUGGGUGGAAAUUUAGUGGAGAUGCCCAUCAUCUUUCCUAAUUAAUAAAAAUGAAGACUUAGAAAAUGUGCAAUCAUAAUCCUAGUUGUCGUUAUGGCCCCAAGAAUAGGUAUAUUAAUUUGUCUCUCUUCAGGAUCAAAGAUAAAUAAUAAAUUUUAUAAAGUUAAAACCAUAAUUCUAUAAUUAUAUUAAUGUAUAAUUUCAUAAAAUUUUAAAAAAUGUAUCUUUCAACUUUUUUAAGUAAAUUGAUAAUUCGUUAACUCAUAAUAUUUUUUUUUUCAAAAUAUUUAUGAGAACGAGUUCGUAUUCUAUUGUGUGGAAAAUUUUAGUACAGAUAUUGGUGAAGCCAAAUCCAACUUGUUUGACCAAGAAAGUCUCUGUCGUGUGGAAAAUUUUAGUUUUGUGGAAAAUGGACAUUACCAUUUCCUUGAAUGACCAUCAAUUUCUCCAUUGAGAUAUAGUAAGAGGGAGUGAAAUAUAUAUAAGGUAAUAUUUAAUGUAUUCACACCAAAUUUCAUUAAUGAGUAAAACAAAUAAUGAAUAAUAAUGAAAAUUGGAGGAAAUUGUUAAGAAAAUAUCAUUACAUAUAUCAACACUCACAUAAUUCAUUGUAUUAACUUUCAAAUGUUGACUAUUGACUUCUACAUCAACCUUGAGCUUAUAUAGGCCCCCCUCACGGAAAUAAUCUCACAUUUAAUGCCUAGAGGUGCUUAUGGGCCGGGCCGGGCCCAGAAAAAAUUUUAGCCCGGGCCCGGCUCGGCCCGAAAUAUGGGCCUGAAAUUUUGCCCAAGCCCGGCCCGGUAAAAAAUUCAUAAGCCCGAGCCCGGCCAUUUUUUAAAUAAAUACCAAAAAUUUAUUUUAAAAUUAAAAAAAUUUAAAAAAAGUAUUUUAAAAAUAUUUUAAAUAAAUACCAAAAAUUCACCCUGCAUCUAAAAGGAGGUCCAGCACUCGAAUCCCAUUCCCCAUAACUAAAAACCAUGUCACUGUGACUUGGUCAUAUCUCCGUUCAAAGUCGGACAUGGGUAGUUAAAGAAAAAUGAAGAGUCGAUGCAUGAUAGACUAAGGACUAGCUCAAAAGUGCUUUUAGAAAAAAUUGCUCUUGAAAAGAGGUGUGGAAAAGUGUGCUUGUUAGUUUUUAGUGUUGUUCAUUGCUGCCAAAAAUCGCAAUUGAAAGUUAAAAUGUUCUUUUUAGACAUGAUAGUAGAAAGUAAAAAAUUAGUCAAGUCAUAUGAUUUUUAAAUAAUUUAAUAUAAUGAUACAUGAAAUAUAACUUUUAAAUACCUUUUAAGUAAUUAAUAUAAAUUAGUUGUAAAAUUGAUAAUAUAUAAAAUAUUUUGAAAAAAAUAAAUAUAAUAAUAAAUAAGAUUUAAACAAUUUAAUAUAAUAAUAUAUAAAAUAUAAAUUAAUCUAAUUUUUAUAUACCUUUUAAAUAGUUAAUGAAAAUAAUAGUAUUUUGAUAAUUUUCCCUUUGAAAUGCAAAAGCCAAAAACAGUUUUUGACUACAAAAGCUAUGUGUUGUUCAUCACUUCUGCAGUGGAAAAACACUUCUCCAUGGUGUAAAAACACUUUUACCCAAAAAGGCUUUUUCACCACAGUAGAGAAUGCACCCUAAAAUUGUAAAUAGAAAAAGGAAGAACCAAACAUUGUUUCUACCCUGUUUUUGUCUCCUCUUUGAAAAUACUUUCCAAAAGUUUUAUCAUUUUUUUUUCUGUUUACGAUGCCUUAAAUGCAAAUUCCUUAUAGAAGUGCUUUCUUUUGAUCCACUUGCAUCAUUGUAAUAAGUUUGCAUUGCCUUCUUUCUAUGUUGAUUAUCGUUUAUUAAGUUUUCUGUUGGAUCUUAUAGUCAAAUUCCUUUACAUCAUGUAUGUUAAUUUGCUUAGCCCUGAUAAAUGUUAGAUAUAGGGUUAUCAGCUAAUUAGGAAAGACUGUAAUGAUAGUCACACCUUACAUCCAAAUUUUUACAUUGAGGUUCCUUAUUAUUUUUUCUUGUUUCACCAAUUGCAUCCUAUUUACAGUUCCUUAGCGUUAUCCACUGUGCUAGGGUGGUUCUUGUUCAUAUAUUAAUCACCAUGCGCCUUCAGCAAAUGCAAAGCCAGCCAGCAUCUUCUGAUUUGUCAUUGGAUACUACACUUUCAGCAAAUGUAAAGCCGCCAGAUUUUCAGCUGUUUUUAGAAGGUCAAGACACAACAAGAGCAACAUAUGUUGUAUUCUUGUCAAACAAGAUAAGUUUUCGCAUAUUAACGAUUCUUUUUCCAAGAUGAAUUAUUCUCCUGUUGCAUUUUUAUUUGGGUUCAAAUGUUCUGUGAAGUUAGCUUGCCAGUGCUUGUUUGUUCAUCAGCAUUUACAGCUCAUUUGUCAUUGGUCAGCAGAAUUUCCGCUGUUUUUAGAAGGUCAAGACACAACAAGAUCAGCAUAUGUUGUAUCUAACAUUUAUAUUCAACAACUGGAAACCAUGUCAUAAAUACAUAUGAAAAAUAUUUAAAAAUCCUUGGUUGAAUACUCGUGCACUAACAUUUUUUAAAAGUUAAUUUUGUGUUACUUUUUUCAUCUCUAUUAUUAUAAAAUUUCCUGAUUUACUUGAUAUCACGACUUAAUUUAGCAUUUAAAAAAUGGAAUAUUACAUUCACUAUUUUUUUAAAAAUAGGAGUAACUAUCAAAAUUAAUUAUUUAUAUAAUCUUUUUUAUAAAAACUAUUUAUUUCUACUAAACCACUACUUUAAAACUACCCAUUAUCAUACAACUUCUCUUUAAUAAUUCACUAUUCUUUCAAACAUUCAUUAGUUUUUCAAACAUAAAAUUUAUAAAUAAUUAUUUUUACCUACAUUUUGAAUGAUGCAAUUUCUAACUAUACACUAAAAUACUCCAUUUAUCAAUUUAAUUUAAUUCAAAGAAUUAUGAUAAUAAUUGAAAUUUCAAAAAAGGAAAAAAACUAGAUAAUUGAAUAUUUAUAUACAAAAAUAAAACAAACAAGACAGACUUAAGCUUUCUUACCCCAAAGACAAGAUCUUUAUUCAAAAUGCAAAACUAGCAAAAUACUCCCUAAAAUUCAUCUAAACACAUCUUCUAAAGAUGUAAUACCCAAGAAGAUUGCCCACAGUUGGUGAUGCACUUCCCAACGAAAGAAAACCAAACUCCUCGCCAAUAUGGAUUUAUGUAAAGGAUAGCAACAAUUGUUAACAACAUAACUACAUAAGAAGCCAAAAAGCUCACACAAAAAACAUAUGUGUCUAGAAAACUAUCUUCUCUUUCAUCAUCUGAUAUUGUUGAUAUUGAACCGGUUUUGGAGCAACUUAUAUGAAGUAUAGGUCCACAGAGAAAAGGGUUCCCCUCGUAACUGCUUUCAAUGAAAGUCCCAAAUUGGUUUUGUUCUGGAAUACUACCUGACAAGUUGUUGUGUGCAACACUGAAAACCCCCAGAGAGUUCAAAUCUACCAGCUGGUUUGGGAUUUCACCACUCAAGUUGUUGUAAGAAAGAUCCAAACUCUCAAUCUGCUUAAGUUUUGAGAAUGAUGAAGGUAUAACUCCGACCAACUUAUUGCGUGACAAGUUCAAAGAAUGGAUUUCACGCAAGUUCCCUAAUUCAAGUGGGAUUUGACCAGUUAACUCAUUGCAAGAUAAAUCAAUCCCAGACAUGUAUUCAAGGAUGUCGCCUCCAUAUGAGAAAGAUCCACUCUUUGUGGUAAACUCUACCGAUUCUUUCAUGUAGCUAUAGGAAUGCAUCAUGUGCUCGAAAAGUAUACCCGUCUUUAAUAGUUUCAAUUCAUCCAGUUCUGAAAAUGUUGGCGACAUUAAAUCUGGUGUCAUGGUCUUAUCCUUAUUCAUUGGAAGAGUUAAAUUUCCCAAACAAGAAGGUAUAGGACCGGAAAACCUAUUUUGAGAAAGAUCUAUAAUGCUCAAGGAAUACAAGGUGCAUAACUGGACUGGAAUUCUUCCCUGUAAAUGAUUAGCUUUCAAGAGAAGGACACUCAAAGAAGAAAGUGUGUCGAUCCAUUUUGGAAUACCACCAGUAAAAUUGUUUCCUCUAAGAUCUAAUGUCACUAGUGAAGUGCUUUUAUUAAAAGCAAGUGACAAUGGACCACCCAGUCUAUUAUUGUGCAGGUGGACAUGCUCUAGGUUUGGAGGAUUAAAACAAGAUGGUAUAGAGCCAGAUAAAUUAUUUUCAGAAAGAUCCAAAAAUUUGAAGUUAUUCAAGUUGCAAAAUUCCACUGGAAUAGAACCCUCGACACCAUUGUUAGACAAGUCUAAUCUCUCCAAAAGUGACAUAUUCCCUAUCCAUCUUGGAAGCUUUCCAUGCAAUCUGUUGUUACUGAGAUCAAUAUCUGUUAGUGAUGUUGGAAACUGAAAAGUAGAGACAUCAAAAUUUGUCAUCUCUCCAGAAAAAUUAUUUCCAUCCAAAUAUAAUUUUUGUAACCCAUUUGCAUUGAGAAUCACAGGAACUACAUUUCCAUUGAGGUUGUUGUUUGACAGUCUCAAAAGAAAUAGUGAGCUUUUCCUGACCAACUCUUGAGGUACUUUUCCAGCCAAUUGAUUGUUUGAUAGAUCUAACAUUGACAAAUUCUUCAUGGCGCUUAAACAAGGAGGGAUAUUGCCUUGAAAGGCAUUCUUGGAUAAGAAUAACUGCUCCAAAUGUGGAAAAGUUGAACAUAUAUUGGUUGGAAGCGGACCUUGUAUUUUGUUGUCAGACAUGUCGAUUGAAGAUACAUUUGAAUUAGGAGUCGACAGUAAUGUGAGAGGACCUGUAAAAGAAUUACCCUUCAAGAUGAGAUCUUCUAACUUUGUGUUGUUUUCUAACAACCAAAAUGGGACAGUUCCACUGAAAUUGUUCUGAGAAAGAUCCACAAAUCUCAAGUCAUUUUGGUAGUAAAGGAAGGUAGGAAGUUCAAGACUGAGUUGUUGAGAUGUUCUGCACUUGGACAAACUAAUGAAUUUCAAUUGGAAUUUCGGGACUAAGGUGUGGAAGGAAGGUUCCAUUUCCAACUUGUUUUCAUCAGCCAAGAGGACCUCAAGGUUUGGAAAGUUUGCAAGUGGUACGAAUGAAAUUGGAAUUUGAAAAUGAUUACUUGAAAGAGAAAUGGCUCUGAGUGAUGUAAGACUUGCUAAAGG
rnacentral:lncRNA from 1 species